CAGGACUCGCAAGACUCCUACAACCUGUGAACUUAACUAUAAGCACGUUGCUUCGGCGGGUGUCUCGGCGAGGGUCCUCCCUCCCCGGGGCGCUAAGCCCGCCGGCAGCCUACCAUACUCUGUCUCUUUGCGUUGGCAUCUCGAGUACAAUCAAACAAGUUA
rnacentral:misc_RNA from 1 species